GCUGGGCGGGGUGGCAGCAGAGCAGGGGCCGUUGAGCCGCGCGGGCGCGGGCUGAGGGCUUUGUUUGAAGCUAAUUAAAUGCAGGUGCUAUGGCCAGGUCGUGGGCCGCCAAACAACAAGACAGGAGGUGGGAGUCAGCUGGGUCAGGCUACCAGGAGAUCAGAAGCAGAAGACAAACUUGAGAUCAGAACCACAAGUCAGUAACCGGAGGCAGGCUGUGUCAGGAUACCAGGUGGUCAAAGUGGAGAUCAGAAACCAGGAGUCAAGCCACAGAAGCAGGAUGCAAAAGGCACACAGUCUGGAGCAAGAUUGAUCCCAGUUGUUCAGACAGCUUCCUGGUCUUGCUGCUGGCUAAAGUAUGCCUAAUGGGCCAAUUGGCUGCUCUGGGAUUCCACCAAUAGGACCUUGGGGUGGAGCCUCAGAGUGGAACUGGACUUCAUGGGUCCUGGGUAAGCAGUUGUCAGCAGGCUGCUAAGUGGUGGGUUGGAGCAUGCAGCUCCUGCAGACCUAGGUUCAAGGCCUGUGGGUUAUGACAACAGACUUCCAUAUUACAGAUGAGGCUUUUGCACCAGCCAAAAUAUUCAAACUGUAUGCUUUUUGGGUUGCAGAAACACUUUUUUCCCCAAGCUUCUCAGGGAAGGGAUUGUCUUUGUUUACAUUUUGAACAGCACUUGGGACAUUGUUGGUGCUUAACAAAUAAUAUAAUCAGUAGCUGCCUCAGUGGGUAACUGGAAGCUUCAGCAUAGUGCUCCUCUCUAUGGCUCUGGCAAUCUUUCUCUUCCCCUUGAGGAUGUCCUCCCUGUGCCUUUUCUACCUCUUGGCUAAUGGGUUCAUUAGCCUGUUGGGCUCUCCUCAGCCCACCCCAAUCCAACAGUUAAGCACAGCUGUUUCUAAUAGGGCUACUUCAGAGCAACUACAGUAGUUGCAGUGACCAGAGUGCUGCAUCGCUACGUUUCCCACACAGAGAUAUUGAUAUAAAUCUGCUCAAAUAAUCUAUAUUCUCAUGUAAAGUUCUCCACUAAAUUCUCAAAUUAAAUGCACCCUGUUUUCUGCCAAAGAUCAUGCAUAUUAAAAGGAAAGUUGGGAAAAGAAGGAAUGACAGGUCUCUAAUCCCCAGGAAAAUGAUAUGCUCAAGUGGAUAUCAGUAAUAUGAUGCAUCCACCAUAUGCUGAUAUUUUUUCCUUUUGUUUUACAAUCAUAUUGCCCUAUUUUUUAAAAUGCCCCCCACUCUCAUUGUUUUGUGGGGUGGGAAGGGACCCAUACACUACAAUGGAACUAAUAAACCCCCCAUACUGGGGAAAGAGGGAAAUGGUAUACACAAAGUGCUGUCUAAGAUAUAAGGCAAAUAAACUGAAAAAACUGAGACUUUUUUCCUAUAAUAUCUUAGGGGUAUCCUGGUAAUAACAUGGGUACAACAUUUUCAGACUGAACUAUGAUAUCUGAGUUGAUUUCGUCCCUUAGAAGCAUGGGAUCCACAAUAACCCACAUUGCUUGAGGUGGGGGGUUACUUUUUAAUGCUAUGUAAUGCUGAGUCGUUAAAACCAACUCAUACAAUAAUAACAGAGGCACAUAUUUAUAAAUUAUCCAGCUCUGAAUCAGAGAAGCAACAGCAUAUUUUCUCAAUUUCAUAUGUGAGCUCUACACAGAUUGCCAUUUUGAUAUUCCUGGAUGGGAAUGCAAACUAAUAUUUAAAAUUGAUUCACAUACAGGCUCUCUGGCAUGUCUUUAUUCAUGCCCAUCUGUUAAAAUGGCAUUUAGCCUACUCACGGUUCCAGCUAAUAAUAGUUGUACUGAUGAACAAAUGUGACAUCACAUGUUUUAUUUGCAGUGUUCUUGAAGCUGCGUUGGUCCCAGGAAAUGUGAGGCUAUAUGCUUCAUUAUAAAAUGGACAUUAUGUGCCCAUUCUUGUUUUCUUUGAAGCCAGUGAAAAUUUUGCAAUGACUUCAAUAAGAGCAAAACAAAACCAUAUAUCACUGACAAAGUGCCAAUAUUUUUAUUCAAUUUCUCUGCAGUCCUGUAAAUGCUGCAUGUGGAGAAGGAUAGGUGUAGGAAUCUUGUUAGCCAAUGUGUUCAGAUUGCUUGAUCGCUAUCUCUUUUUGGGUGGAGUGUUCUUAGGCACUUUUAUGGAUUAUCUUUGGCAUUUGAUGUCUUCCAAACCUGCAGGGAGUCUAAGGACUUACAGUUGCUUUUAUCCUUUUCUGGUCAGAAUUUCUUCAGUGUGCUUUUGUGUUCCUUUUUUACUCCUUCUGUAUCUUGAGUCAACAAAUGUACUAUUGAAUUAGCAAAAAAAUUUAGAUGCUGGGGGCAGGGAGAGUGAAAAUGUUCCCUGGUAGUGUGUGCAAGAUGUUCCCUAUGUGUUGCAUUCAUAUUGCAGCUGAGACAAGCACUUCCCUGGCUGCAGGGGAUCACCUUGCACAAAAGAAAAUGAAAGCCAGCUCCUGUUCCAGUUAUUCCUUUCACAAUACGAAUGUAAGAAUAGUAAAGGAUAACUGAUAGGCUCAACAUUUAAAUAUCUUCUACCCUCCCGCUACUACUAAGCAUAUUUAUUUGUUUAAAUAUAUUUCUUGGUACAUAAAAAAGUCAUCUUUCUUUCAAAUCAAAGUUAAAAUCUCAGUGAGGCACUGACCUGAGCAAAAUUUGGAUUCAGGGCAUCCAUGAGCCUGCCAUGCUAUCCACUCAGCCGGUAAGCUCUGUUUUCAUGAGUCAUCUGAACAUAUAAUAUAACCACACACUUAUAAUACAUGCACAUCUUACCCAUGUACCAACCUAGAUGACAACAACAAAACCAAAAAAAUGAAUAAUAAUGUUUCCCCUUUGGCAUGAGCUGUCAGCUGCACUUGAGACCCCUUUUAAUCUGUCUCUAAUACAUACGCUCUGGUGACCAGUUUCACUAAUUUCAUCCCUCUCUAGGUGGUACCAUGUAGUCCUACCACUCUUAGAAUGAGUGUCUGGGCCACAGCCCCCCUGUUUAGCAACGGUGAUAACGUGACAGGCCCAACAGUGUUUGGCACCUGUAAGUCCUUUUCUUCCAGGAGCCUGUGACCAGUGGCUGAUUAAAGUGACUCAAAAACAGCUUCUGCAAAACAGUUAUUUAUUCACCCAAAGGCAUAUAAACAGAGAAAAAGGAUAAAACAAUGAAAGUCCGAUAAGCUGGGUCUUACCUAAGCAUGAUUCUUUCCUUGCAAAUUUUAGAAAAGUUUCAUUCAGCCCAGACACCCCUACUCCUGGCCUGGGAGAGACAGACAGCACCUGUCAGACUUACUUCCAGCCUCUGCUCUCCACACACCCUCUUCCUCCUGUGCAGGGACCUUCAACAGUUUAGUGUCCCUUUGAUAUUAGGCUUAGGUCUGGGCAAAAUAGACCUGCUCACCUAGCUGGAUCCAGGCAGAUGGGUAUUUCCGAAUUAAUAGCUGCCCUGCUCGUCCUUUAUGGUCCCUAUUCUCAUUGGAGUUACGUUAUCUCUGACGCUUUUUCAUUUCCUGUUUGUUUUCCCCAGCAGCCUCCUUAGAUGUAACUCUAUGCAGAUAGGCAGAGUAAUAUCAAGCAGGUAAACUGAGGUGCAACAAUAUUUAUACAAAAUAAUACAAAUAACUCGCUCAUUCUCUGCAGUUCAUCAAAAUAAAUUUAAAUCCACAUAUUAACACACAUUCAGGGAGUACAGUAACAGCAUGAAGAAACCCAUGAGCCCACAAAAACCCUAAUACUAGUGCUAUACAAGUCCUACAAUGUGCUUAAUUAAAAUAUAUUAUAUUAGUGUUCUUUUAAUUAUUUAAUUGGGAUUGUGACCUAUUGAGUAGAGCAGAUGACUAUAGAUUAGGAGGCCUAGGUACUAUUUCUGGCUCUUCCAGUUAAUCUUUUUGUAACCCUGGACACAUCAUUUUAAAACUCUUAAAUCUGCACUGCUGAGCUCAUCAACAUCAAGACCUGAGUUUGGAUCUUUGAUCUUAGUGUUUAAUAUCUUUAAAUAUGCACUCACAACUUUAAAGUUGGAAUUUUAAAAUACUGUGGCGUUUGAACAUAUAUAAACAUCAAUUUUACUUUUCAUUUUAGACAAUGCAUAACUCCAAUAGCAGAAAGGAAACAAUUCCACCAAAUUCUGCAUUCUCCUAAUCAUGCUGAGUAGUAGUAUCUUACUCCUUGAGUAAUCUAAUUGAUUUCAGAGGGACUAUAUGUGAAGGAAAGUACUACUCAUCAUAAACGUAGCAGAAUCUGACUUUUGAUUUGUGCCUAUGGUGGUUUCAUUCUUACGCUGUUUCUUUUAAAGUCCAGAAAAUUUACAACAGUGUAAAACAGUUAACUUUACAUGAAAUAAAUUUCAAGCCUAUCCUGCUCCUGUUGACAUUAGCAAGAGUUCUGCCACUGACUUCAGUUUGAGUAGGAUUGGUCUAAUAAAUGGACAAAUACAAGAUAACUAUAACUUUAUAAUGAAAUAAAAUGUGUUGUCACUUUUUUUUAAAGUGACUUCAACUGAGAAUGAUGGAGAUUUUCUUGAAAGUGAAGAUGCUUCUGUAUGGAAACCAUUUGUCAACAUGCUGUUCAACAAGAAAGGCAAUCUUAUCUGACCUUGACCUUGAGAACCAAGCCUCCAACAGCAGCAGAGUGCAAGAUAAGAAAAUGGCUGAGAUGGACCAGGGAAGAUAUUUUCAGGGUGGCGCUGCAGUAGUUAGAUGCAGAAAGCACUGAACGUAAGAAGUGGAGGGAAA